rnacentral:rRNA from 1 species
UACGUAGGUGGCAAGCGUUGUCCGGAAUUAUUGGGCGUAAAGCGCGCGCAGGCGGCCUCCUAAGUCCGAUGUGAAAGCCCACGGCUCAACCGUGGAGGGUCAUUGGAAACUGGGGGACUUGAGUGCAGGAGAGAAGAGUGGAAUUCCACGUGUAGCGGUGAAAUGCGUAGAUAUCUGGAGGAACACCGGUGGCGAAGGCGGCAUCCUGGACCGGCAUUGACGCUGAGGCGCGAAAGCCAGGGGAGCAAACGGG